rnacentral:sRNA from 1 species
CAUAGAGCAGGUACAGCAUGAGCAGCAGCAGUGCAAGCUUCAGCUGUGUUGCCCCCCUUCCAAGGGCCUUAGCUCUGCCUUAGUUGGGUCCCUUCUGUA